rnacentral:rRNA from 1 species
AGAGUUUGAUCUUGGCUCCGAAUGGACGUUGUCUUUUAGCUUAACACAUGCAAGUCGAAUGGGUAUUUUACCCAUGGCGUACGGGUGAGAAAGAAUAAGAAUGCAUCCCAUAGGAUUGAAAAAAUAUCAAAUAGUCAUUAGGUGUUUUACACCCAAAUGACAUUAAAAAGGAUAACACACACUUAAAACGUGUGGUAUUUAAUUGUAAAAUCCGCCUAUGGCUGUGCUUAUUUUGGAUUAGGUAGAAGGUGAAUAAUAAAUAGCUCACCAUUGCCAAUGAUCCAUAGUCGGUUUGAGAGAAUGAUCGACCACAAUGGCCAUGAAAUAAGGACCAUACCAGUAUUGUACUAGGUCAGCAGUGAGGAAUUUUGGACAAUGGCCGAAAGGUUGAUCCAGCUAAAUAGAAGAGUGACGAUUAAAAUUUUGCGCAUCACCCUUAGGGGUGAUGCAAUUUAUUUUUUUUCGUACGAAACAUCUAGGUUAAGAUACAAGUUUAGUGUUUUACACUUUUCUUGUUUCUUAAUUAGGAUGUUCGGAAGACGAACAGUUGUAAAACUCUAAAGAAAAGGAAGAUAAUGACAUUACUUUUCUAUUCAUUCUGACUAAUCUCGUGCCAGCAGUCGCGGUAAUACGAGAAGAAUGAACGUCAUUCAUCUUAAAUGGGUGUAAAGAGUAUGUAGGCAGUUUUAUUUUAAUUUGCUGAAUGCGUGAAAACACGUGAUAGGUAAUUUGAGAUUUAAAACCCUUUUGGGUUAUUUUUAUUCUCAGUCAAAAUUUUCCAUUUUUAUGGGUAUUUGAUUUUAAAAUUAAACUUGAGUAAAAUAGAGGAAAGAGAAAUUUCAAGUGUAAGGAUGGAAUCUUAUUAUAUUUUGAAGGAACUCCAAAGGCGAAGGCUUCUUUCUAAUUAAUUACUGACGCUAAGAUACGAAAGUGUGGGUAGCAAAAAGGAUUAGAUACCCUUGUAGUCUACACUGUCAACAAUGAAUGUUAUUUAUCUGUAUAUUUGGGUAAAUGAAUUUACGUUAAACAUUCCACCUGGAAAGUACGAUCGCAAGAUUAAACCCCAAAAGAAUAGACGGUCUUUCAUACCAGCAGUGAAGUAUGUUGUUUAAUUUGAUGAUCCGCAAUUAAUCUUACCAAUUCUUGAAUAUUUCAUAUAUCUAAUACAAACAUAUUAUAUGUAUUGUUUGCAACUAUCUUAAAUUUUAAGAUUGGGUUGCUAUAUGUUUAUACAGGCGUUGCAUGGCUGUCCUCAGUUCGUAUUGUGAAAUAUUUGGUUAAGUCCACUCACGAACAAAACUCCACCAUUUAGUUUUAUCUAAAUGUGAACAUUCUUAAAAGAACAUUUUUGAGGGAUUAAGACAAGUCUUCAUGACCUUUAUGAAUUGGGCUAUAGACGUGCCACAUGAGUUGACACAAAAGGAAACGAAAGUUAAAACUUAAGUUAAUCCUUAAACUCAACUUUGUACUAAUAGAAUUCUGAAACUCGAAUUCUUGAAGUUGGAAUUGCUAGUAAUCGUGGAUCACCACGCCACGGUGAAUAUAAAUCUGAUAGAUGUACUAAUCGCCCGUCAAGAGCCGGAAAUAAAUGAUGAAAGAAGUUAGAAUAGUUUUUCUCCUCAUAUACGUGACCCAAAGGUCACGAGACACGCAUUGCGUGUCGAUAUUUUUUAUUUAUGAGUUAGUUUAAUUUAUUAUUAACGAUGAUUUGUUUAUAACUGGUUUUAAGUCGUAACAAAGUAGCCGUAGGGGAACCUGUGGCUG